rnacentral:rRNA from 1 species
GACGAACGCUGGCGGCGUGCUUAACACAUGCAAGUCGAACGGAAAGGCCCUGCUUUUGUGGGGUGCUCGAGUGGCGAACGGGUGAGUAACACGUGAGUAACCUGCCCUUGACUUUGGGAUAACUUCAGGAAACUGGGGCUAAUACCGGAUAGGAGCUCCUGCUGCAUGGUGGGGGGUGGAAAGUUUCGGCGGUUGGGAUGGACUCGCGGCUUAUCAGCUUGUUGGUGGGGUAGUGGCUUACCAAGGCUUUGACGGGUAGCCGGCCUGAGAGGGUGACCGGCCACAUUGGGACUGAGAUACGGCCCAGACUCCUACGGGAGGCAGCAGUGGGGAAUAUUGCACAAUGGGCGGAAGCCUGAUGCAGCAACGCCGCGUGCGGGAUGACGGCCUUCGGGUUGUAAACCGCUUUCGCCUGUGACGAAGCGUGAGUGACGGUAAUGGGUAAAGAAGCACCGGCUAACUACGUG